rnacentral:rRNA from 1 species
AAUGAACGCUGGCGGCGUGCCUGACACAUGCAAGUCGAACGAGAAACUCCGGGCUUGCUCGGAGGAGUAAAGUGGCGCACGGGUGAGUAACGCGUGGGUAACCUGCCCCAGAAUCUGGGAUAACAUCGCGAAAGCGUUGCUAAUACCGGAUAUCGUCCUUAAAACUGUGGUUUUUGGGAUGAAAGAUGACCUCUCCGUGGAAGUUGUCGUUCAGGGAGGGGCCCGCGUACCAUUAGCUUGUUGGUAGGGUAAUGGCCUACCAAGGCUACGAUGGUUAGCUGGUCUGAGAGGAUGAUCAGCCACACUGGAACCGAAACACGGUCCAGACUCCUACGGGAGGCAGCAGUGAGGAAUUUUGCGCAAUGGGGGAAACCCUGACGCAGCAACGCCGUGUGAGUGAAGAAGGCCUUCGGGUCGUAAAGCUCUGUCAAGGGGGAAAAAAUCCUUUUCGAUCAAUAGUCAUUAAGGACUGAUGGUACCCCUAGAGGAAGCACCGGCUAACUCCGUG